UACAGAGGGUGCGAGCGUUAAUCGGAAUUACUGGGCGUAAAGCGUGCGUAGACGGCUAUCUAAGUCGGGUGUGAAAGCCCCGGGCUCAACCUGGGAAUUGCAUUCGAGACUGAAUAGCUAGGGUACGGUAGAGGGAAGCGGAAUUUCCGGUGUAGCGGUGAAAUGCGUAGAUAUCGGAAGGAACGCCGGUGGCGAAAGCGAUCGACUGGACCUUUUCUGACGCUGAGGCGCGAAAGCCAGGGGAGCAAACGGG
rnacentral:rRNA from 1 species